GAUGAACGCUGGCGGCGUGCCUAAUACAUGCAAGUCGAGCGAACGGACGAGAAGCUUGCUUCUCUGAUGUUAGCGGCGGACGGGUGAGUAACACGUGGAUAACCUACCUAUAAGACUGGGAUAACUUCGGGAAACCGGAGCUAAUACCGGAUGAUAUUUUGAACCGCAUGGUUCAAAAGUGAAAGACGGUCUUGCUGUCACUUAUAGAUGGAUCCGCGCUGCAUUAGCUAGUUGGUAAGGUAACGGCUUACCAAGGCAACGAUGCAUAGCCGACCUGAGAGGGUGAUCGGCCACACUGGAACUGAGACACGGUCCAGACUCCUACGGGAGGCAGCAGUAGGGAAUCUUCCGCAAUGGGCGAAAGCCUGGCGGAGCAACGCCGCGUGAGUGAUGAAGGUCUUCCGAUCGUAAAACUCUGUUAUUAGGGAAGAACAUAUGUGUAAGUAACUGUGCACAUCUUGACGGUACCUAAUCAGAAAGCCACGGCUAACUACGUG
rnacentral:rRNA from 1 species